rnacentral:piRNA from 1 species
UGACAUGAACACAGGUGUUCAGAUAGCUU